UGAACUGACAGGUGCUCUCCAACUGGAGUCAACAAACAAUUCAGACGGAAGCAUUUCUCCAAACGCAACUUCCGGUCCAAACAGCAGGUGAUAAUUAAUGGAAGCUAACGCCGGAGCUAACAGGUUAGCUUCAAACUACGGGACAGAAGAGUCGUUGUUUUUAAAUGUAGAGGUACAAACGAAGAGACUGUCUGUGUGUCUGUCCGGUCAGAAACCGCCAUUACUGCUGUCCUUGUUUUUUAUUGUCGUCGUGUGAUAACGUCUGGACGAACUUGGAAUACUGUGACCUGAAACAUUUACAAAGAAGCCUCAGCAGACAUGGAAGAUCAGACACGAACAUUCAAAGACAGAUUUAUUUAGAAACUUCUGGAAAUUCAAGGAUCGAUUUGUCAUCGGAUGAACAACGGAGACUAAACAUUAGCCUCGACGAUGUUAAGGUGAGGGGAAACCGAGAGACACAACCACGGACUUCAGCUAGAAGUAAAGACUGGCAGUGGAGACAGGCUGAACUGAUGUUGGCAGGAAGACGUGACUUGCAGAUCACAUAUGACUUCAGAUGAAUUUGAGCCAGAGCUAAUCUAAUCUGGAGUUUACGGCUUUAAAACCAAAGCAGCUGGCAGAGAGAAGGACACCUUCACCAGUCCGUCUGUUAAUGGAACUACUGGAGGCAUCCAUCUGCAUUAGACAGAGGGGAUGUAAUGAGGACAGAGUCUUACCCGCCAUUGUCGUCGUCUUGCAUUGUGAUGUCCCGCCCCUGGAGGAAUGCGUGAGAGGAGUUUACGGGGAUGGCGAACAGCUCCUGGCAGAUGUGAGCAGCUGGGCUGUGCAGAAUGGCUACUUAAAGAGGCCUUACAGGACGGAGGAGAAGACAAGACUGAGAAGAUGACUGAGAGUCCUGUCACAGCCCAGAACUAGAACAACCAGAAAGUGUCCCAACAAAUACGGACCCCAUUAAGGUGAGAUAAGAUGGAGACGGAUGAGCAGUCGCUGCAUCACAAGCUUCUAACACAGUUGACUCUUAAAUACAAAGUUCUUGUAGAUCUAAGUAAACGUGUCUCAGUUUGGGAUUCAAAAAGUUCAAAGUUUGUAGAAUGUUACCAGACUGUGUUGGGUUCAAUAGUUACUGUUUAGAAACGACAAGAACUUGGCUUUAAGUUGGUUCUUUACUGCGUACUGUCUCUAGGAAACAGAUUCCUUUAAAAAACAUCAGCAUCAGAGGAAAGGUGUAGAUUAGUGUGUGGCUGGAGGUGUACGGUGCACUGGCUGAAAUGGUGGCUCCACAUCAUGUUACAUUUGUGAAGGUUUGGGGCUAAUGAGCGUCUGUUCACAUCCCUGUGCUGGUGAGUGAGAGCAGACAAAGCCAUGCCAGACGUCUGGGUGUGCAGCAACAUCAAUGAGCAGGCGAGGAUCAGGCGGUUGAUGCAGCGGUGAGGUGGAGGCAGCAGCUCCAAGCAGUGAACACAAAAGGUGUUAGGAGGCUGAAACUAGCAGAACUAAACCGAGCAGAGACCUGCACUGAGGGGCGAGGAGACGGAGGAAGAGGAAGCAGCAGCAGCAGCAGCAGCAGCGACAGGGGCAGAGCCAUGGGUAGAGGCUGGUCCAGCAGCAAAUGGCAAGCUUUUUUUUUUUUUUUUUUACACCAACACAGAAGAAACAGACAGAGAAACAAACCAAAGCAUGGACUUUUGAUGAAGCCCUAGUUAGUUGAUUACAUCACUUAAAAAAAAAUCAACAGCUGAAGGAAACAUCACCCAAAAUAACCAGUGCAUCUUUACAGCCACUCUUUUUUUUAACUCCCAGCUGAGGUUUUUAUCAUGUAGGUGCAAAGUGAUAGUCUGUUAGAACAAGCACAGGAGUUAUGAAUCAUGUAAAGAA